rnacentral:lncRNA from 1 species
AUCUGACAGAGGGCAUCUGUGCACUUUAUGGUGCACUCAUAAAGGGCUGAAACAAGUCAGGAAACCCUUGAUCUUGAGUAUGGUUCCAUGCUGAAUAAUGAUGGCAAAAGAUUUGUUGUACCUGUGGUUUGAGUAUUACUACCAAGUAUCUAAUGUGCAUAAUACUGCUUUUUACUUCUUCAGUAGUGUUCCACAGGAUACACACAAGUACACAAAUGCCCUCUGUUGGUCCUCCUCCUUAUUGCAUAACUCAAUUGAUGGUACAUGUGGCAGAAUCUUUUUUUCUGUGAUAUUUCACAGUCCAUAGGUGAUUAUUGGAGAUUUUCAAAAUAAGUUAUUUGUUUUUUACAGUUCUAUCCAAUUGUACCAAACUUAGC